rnacentral:lncRNA from 10 species
GCCUAGUUCCUUUUGGCUACUCUGGCUUUCUCCAACCGAGAGGGACAGCAGUCGGCCUCCCUGUCAGAAACUCUGGCCUGAGAUAAAGAAAAAAACCACCAACACAGCAAGAUGCAAAAGAAGCCAGAGGCCCACCUGCCCCAAAUCAUUCAUCUCCUUGGACUGCUUCUGAGUGUGAAACUCCUGCCAUUGGCUUCUCUUCCCUGGAUUAAAGACCAGUUAAAAUAUGGAUCUGUAAACUCAAGGUCUACUCUGCCUCACUCACACCUUAGCCAACAUGUGGGACCAGAUAGUGUCCUUCAAAAAGCC